rnacentral:rRNA from 2 species
GGGACUGCGGCCUAUCAGCUAGUUGGUGAGGUAAUGGCCCACCAAGGCUAUAACAGGUACGGGCUCUGAGAGGAGGGGCCCGGAGAUGGGUACUGAGACACGGACCCAGGCCCUAUGGGGCGCAGCAGGCGAGAAACCUUUGCAAUGUGCGAAAGCACGACAAGGUUAAUCCGAGUGUCUCCUGCUAAAGGAGUCUUUUGCCAGUCGUAGAAACACUGGUGAAUAAGGGGUGGGCAAGUUCUGGUGUCAGCCGCCGCGGUAAAACCAGCACCUCGAGUGGUCAGGAGGUUUAUUGGGCCUAAAGCAUCCGUAGCCGGUUGUUUAAGUCUUCGGUUAAAUCUAUGCGCUCAGCGUAUAGGCCGCCGAAGAUACUGGACAGCUAGGGAGUGGGAGAGGUACACGGUACUCGAUAGGAAGGGGUAAAAUCCUUUGAUCUAUUGAUGACCACCUGUGGCGAAGGCGGUGUACCAGAACACGUUCGACGGUGAGGGAUGAAAGCUGGGGGAGCAAACCGGAUUAGAUACCCGGGUAGUCCCAGCUGUAAACGAUGCAGACUCGGUGAUGCAUUGGCUUGUGGCCAAUGCAGUGCCGCAGGGAAGCCGUUAAGUCUGCCGCCUGGGAAGUACGUACGCAAGUAUGAAACUUAAAGGAAUUGGCGGGGGAGCACCACAAGGGGUGAAGCCUGCGGAUCAAUUGGAGUCAACGCCAGAAAUCUUACCCGGAGCGACAGCAGAAUGAAGGUCAAGCUGAAGACUUUACCAGACAAGUUGAGAGGUGGUGCAUGGCCGUCGCCAGCUCGUGCCGUGAGAUGUCCUGUUAAGUCAGGUAACGAGCGAGACCCCCGCUACUAGUUGCUACCGUUACUCUCUGGAGCAGCGGAGCGAAUUAGUAGGACCGCCGCAGUUAAUGCGGAGGAAGGAAGGGGCCACGGCAGGUCAGUAUGCCCCGAAACUCUGGGGCCACACGCGGGCUGCAAUGGUAUUGACAAUGUGUUCCGAAUCCGAAAGGAGGAGGCAAUCAUCAAACGAUACCUCAGUUAUGACUGAGGGCUGUAACUCGCCCUCACGAAUAUGGAAUCCCUAGUAACUGCGCGUCAUUACCGCGCGGUGAAUACGUCCCUGCUCCUUGCACACACCGCCCGUCGUUUCAUUGAAGCUGGCUUUUAGUGAGGUAGUGUCUAAUGGCAUAUCGAG